GCCAGGUUGGCCGAGCGGUCUAAGGCGCCAGAUUUAAGCUUUGGUUCCCCUGGGGAGCGUGGGUUCGAAUCCCACACCUGGCA